rnacentral:rRNA from 1 species
UACGUAGGGUGCAAGCGUUGUCCGGAAUUAUUGGGCGUAAAGCGCGCGCAGGCGGUCCUUUAAGUCUGAUGUGAAAGCCCACGGCUCAACCGUGGAGGGUCAUUGGAAACUGGGGGGACUUGAGUACAGAAGAGGAAAGCGGAAUUCCACGUGUAGCGGUGAAAUGCGUAGAGAUGUGGAGGAACACCAGUGGCGAAGGCGGCUUUCUGGUCUGUAACUGACGCUGAGGCGCGAAAGCGUGGGGAGCAAACAGG